GAAGAAAGAGGGGGGAGGGAGGAAAAAAGGGAAGGAGAAAGGAAAGGAGCUGCUUUUGGGGGGGGAGGGAGUGGAGAACGGGUGAGUAAAAAGUGAGUAAAAGGUGUGGGAUUUUGGGAUAACUUCAGGAAAAUGGGGGUAAGACUGGAUAGGAGCUUCUGCUGAAUGGUGGGGGUUGGAAAGUUUCGGCGGUUGGGGAUGGACUCGCGGCUUAUCCGCUUGUUGGUGGGGUAGUGGCUUACCAAGGCUUGAAGGGGGCGCCGGCCUGAGAGGGUGACCGGCCACAUUGGGACUGAGAUACGGCCCAGACUCCUACGGGAGGCAGCAGUGGGGAAUAUUGCACAAUGGGCGGAAGCCUGAUGCAGCAACGCCGCGUCCUAAAUUCCUUCCUUCAUUUUGUAAACCGCUUUCGCCUGUUACGAAGCGUGAGUGACUGUAAUGGGUAAAGAAGCACCAGCUCCCUACGUC
rnacentral:rRNA from 1 species